rnacentral:rRNA from 1 species
UACGUAGGGGGCAAGCGUUGUCCGGAAUCAUUGGGCGUAAAGAGCGUGUAGGCGGCUCGAUAAGUCUGCUGUGAAAGUCCAGGGCUCAACCCUGGAAGGCCGGUGGAAACUGUCGGGCUAGAGUCCGGAAGAGGCGAGUGGAAUUCCCGGUGUAGCGGUGAAAUGCGUAGAGAUGCGGAGGAACACCGAUGGCGAAGGCAGCCCCCUGGGCUGACACUGACGCUCAGGCACGAAAGCGUGGGGAGCAAACAGG